rnacentral:rRNA from 1 species
GGUGUUGCAUGGCUGUCGUCAGCUCGUGUCGUGAGAUGUUGGGUUAAGUCCCGCAACGAGCGCAACCCUNNNCCUUAGUUACCAUCAGGUAAUGCUGGGGACUUUAAGGAAACUGCCAGUGAUAAACUGGAGGAAGGUGGGGAUGAUGUCAAGUCAUCAUGGCCCUUAUGGAGUGGGCUACACACGUGCUACAAUGGUGGCUACAAUGGGCUGCAAAGUCGCGAGGCUAAGCUAAUCCCUUAAAAGCCAUCUCAGUUCGGAUUGUACUCUGCAACUCGAGUGCAUGAAGUUGGAAUCGCUAGUAAUCGUGGAUCAGCACGCCACGGUGAAUACGUUCCCGGGUCUUGUACACACC